UACCCCUGCUAACUGGGCAAAGAGGCACCUUGUGAAGUGGUGGCCUUCUUACAUCUAGCAGGGGGACAACAGUGAUCCCUGUUCAUCCCAGGGCAGUCUCUAGCUGUUGCUGGUUCAUGCUGGGGAAACAAGA